GUUCUAGUGCGUAGUUCCGUUGCUUUGUUGUCUUUGGUUGUCGGUAUUAUUAAAAUCCACUGCUCCGGUAUGUCUUCAUUUAUUAAAAUACAAUCUCUGAAAAGCAGUUUGUUUGGAGGCGUACGAAAUCCAGUGCUGUGUUUAUCUAGGACACUAAUGACAGCAGCAGAGAAGCUUGCCGCUGUUCCUGAUGUGGAUAUCGACCCAGAAGGAACAUUUAAGUAUGUUCUAAUACGUAUCUUUGGUCCAGAGGGUCCUGAUGGCAAAGAACCGAGCAAAUUAGUGGUCAGUAACUGGUGCGAGGAUACAAGUGAGUUGGCUUCCAUUCGGACGUCUACGAUGAGACGAUGGACAGGGUGAAUGGCCUCGGCGUUGAUACAGAGUGCACUGGUGGUGGCAGAAUACAGCACGACCCCAGUGCCAAGGUCAUCAAAGUGUACAGCUACUCACAGGGGUUUGGGAAGGCAGACCACAGCAAGACUGUAGAAAUUCUGAAGACUGCAUAUCCUGUUU